rnacentral:rRNA from 1 species
AGUGAACGCGGCGGCGUGCCUAAUACAUGCAAGUCGAACGGAAUUUAAAAGAGCUUGCUCUUUUAAAUUUAGUGGCGCACGGGUGAGUAAUAUAUAGCCAAUCUGCCCCUUGCUGGAGGACAACAGUUAGAAAUGACUGCUAAUACUCCAUACUCCUUUUUACCAUAAGAUAAAUCGGGAAAGAAUUUCGGCAAGGGAUGAGACUAUAUCGUAUCAGCUAGUCGGUGGGGUAACGGCCUACCGAGGCUAUGACGCGUAACUGGUCUGAGAGGAUGAUCAGUCACAUUGGAACUGAGACACGGUCCAAACUCCUACGGGAGGCAGCAGUAGGGAAUAUUGCGCAAUGGGGGAAACCCUGACGCAGCAACGCCGCGUGGAGGAUGACACUUUUCGGAGCGUAAACUCCUUUUGUUAGGGAAGAAUAAUGACGGUACCUAACGAUAAGCCCCG